GGCAUUGAGUCAUUGUUGAAGCAAAGAAAGCAGCAACUCCAUUCCUAUUCUUCCUAACAAAUUCCUGUUCGUCUUUCCAUUUCCCCUCAAUUCUUUCACUUCCUCUGCAGAUCGAGAAACAGACAUGGCCCUAGAGUUAGUUGGAGGAGCUUUUCUCUCUGCUUCACUCCAAUUUCUUUUCGACAGGUUGACUUCUUCCGAAGGCCUCGACUUCAUCAGGGGACAGAAGCUCAGUGAUUCACUCCUCAGCAAGUUGAAGAUCAAAUUGCUGAUUGUGGAUGCAGUGCUCAACCAUGCUGAGGUUAAGCAAUUCACGGACCCAGCAGUCAAAGAGUGGCUCCUGCAUGUUAAGGGUACUCUGUAUGAUGCGGAAGACCUACUGGACGAGAUUGCUACUGAAGCUCUGCGAUGCAAGAUGGAAGCUGAUGAUCACUCCCAGACUGGCUCAGCUCAGGUAUGGAACAACAUCUCUACGUGGAUGAAGGCCCCACUUGCUAAUUAUCGAAGCAGCAUAGAGUCCAGGGUAAAUGAGAUGAUUGGCAAACUGGAAGUUCUUGAAAAAGCAAUAGAUAAACUUGGGCUGAAACCAGGCGAUGGUGAGAAACUGCCACCAAGAUCACCCUCGACUUCUCUGGUCGAUGAAUCUUGUGUGUUCGGCAGGAAUGAAAUCAAAGAGGAGAUGAUGACAAGGUUGUUGUCUGAUAAUGUAAGCACCAACAAGAUAGAUGUGAUCUCCAUAGUCGGCAUGGGCGGCGCAGGCAAGACCACACUGGCUCAGCUUCUGUACAACGACUCCAGAGUGAAGGAGAGCUUUGACUUGAAAGCAUGGGUUUGUGUUUCGGAGGAGUUUCUUCUUGUCAGGGUAACCAAAUUAAUUCUUGAGGGAAUCGGAUGUGCAACCCCUUCUGAUAUGCAAAGAGACAACCUAGAUUUGCUUCAGCUUAAACUGAAAGGGAGUCUUGGUGACAAGAAAUUUCUACUCGUUCUCGACGAUGUUUGGGAGAAAGGUUGUAGCGAAUGGCAUCGGCUACGAAUUCCGCUCCUAGCUGCUGGGAAAGGAAGCAAGGUUGUUGUGACUACUCGCAGUACAAAAGUUGCAGCAGUCAUGCAGGCAGUUCAUCCUCAUUAUUCUCUGGGAGAGUUAUCCGCUGAUGGUUGUUGGUCCUUAUUUACAAAACUUGCAUUUGAAAAUGGAGACUCCACGGCAUUUCCUCAGCUAGCAUCAAUAGGCAGAAAGAUUGUGGCCAAGUGCCAAGGAUUACCUUUAGCGGUAAAAGCACUGGGGAGUCUUUUGCAUUCUAAAGUUGACAAAACGGAAUGGGAAAAAAUUUUGGAAAGUGAAAUAUGGGGCUUGCAAAAUCCUGAAAUUCUUCCAUCGUUGAUACUGAGUUACCAUGAUCUCCCUUUGCAUCUCAAGCGUUGUUUUGCUUAUUGUUCCAUUUUUCCCAAGGACCAUGAAUUCGAUAAAGAGAAGCUGAUUUUACUAUGGAUGGCAGAAGGAUUUCUACGACAUUCACAAAGCAAUGAAAGAAUGGAAGAGGUAGGUGACCUUUAUUUUCAUGAACUUCUCUCUAAGUCAUUUUUCCACAGAUCUGCUACCAAAGAAUCAUGCUUUGUCAUGCAUGAUCUCAUACAUGACUUGGCUCAAUAUAUAUCCGGAGAAUUUUGUGUUCGGUUGGAAGAUGAUAAAGUGCAAAAAAUUACUGAGAAGGCUCAUCAUUUGUUUCAUGUCAGAAGUGCUCAAUCGAUUGUAUUUAAGAAGUUUGAAAGCCUUACAGAAGUGAAGUGUCUUCGAACAUUCGGAGAGUUGGAUACAAUGCAACUCUAUUUCUAUGCAUUAAGUAAAAGAGUUUUGCAUGAUAUAUUACCGAAAAUGAGAUACUUACGAGUGUUGUCAUUACAGUGUUACAAAAUUAGAGAUUUACCUGAUUCAAUAGGCAAAUUAAUAUAUUUGCGUUAUUUGGAUCUCUCUUAUACAAUGAUUGAAAAACUGCCUGAUUCUGUUUGUUAUUUGUACAAUUUACAAACGAUGAUAUUAUUGGGUUGUUUUAAACUCAAAGAAUUGCCAUCAAGAAUCGGGAAAUUGAUUAAUUUGCGUCAUCUUAAUCUCCCUAGUGCAUGUAACUUGAGUGAAAUGCCAAGUCACAUUGGUCAAUUAAAAAGUUUACAACAAUUGACCAAAUUUAUUAUGGGGCAAAAAAGUGGAUUAAGAAUUUGUGAAUUGGGAGAGCUUUCAGAUAUCAGGGGAACACUUGACAUCUCUAACAUGGAGAAUGUGGCAUGUGCUAAGGAUGCAUUGCAGGCGAAUAUGAAGGAUAAGAAACACCUUGAUAAACUAGCCUUGAAUUGGAGUUACAAAAUUGCUGAUGGUGUUGUACAAAGUGGCGUAAUCGAUCAUAUACUCAACAACUUACAACCUCAUCCAAAUUUAAAACAAUUCAAAAUCAGAAACUAUCCUGGCGUGAUACUUCCACAUUGGUUAGGAGAUCGUUCAUUCUCCAAUCUUUUGCAGCUAGAGCUUUGGGAUUGUGAAAAUUGCUCAUCAUUGCCUCCACUUGGGUUGCUAACCUCUCUUCAACAUUUACGUAUCUCAAGAAUGACAGGAAUUGAGAAGGUGGGCAGUGAGUUUUAUAGGGGUGCUUCCUCCUCCAAUACAAUUAAACCCUACUUCCGAUCUCUACAAACUCUAAGAUUUGAGUAUAUGUGCGAGUGGGAGAAAUGGUUACGUUGUGGAUGCAGACGUGGAGAAUUCCCUCGUCUCCAGGAGCUUUAUAUAAUCCAUUGUCCUAAACUCACUGGCAAAUUACCAAAACAACUUCGAUGCUUGAAGAAACUUGAAAUUAUUGAAUGCCCACAGCUGCUUGUGGCUUCGCUAAAAGUUCCUGCCGUCAGAAUAUUGAGGAUGCGGAAUUUCGGUAAAUUGCAGUUGAAAAGGCCAGCUUCGGGAUUCACUGCUCUUCAAACUUCAGAUAUUGAAAUUUCAGACGUAUCUCAGUUGAAGCAACUACCAUUUGGGCCACAUCACAAGCUCACAAUUACAGAAUGUGAUGCUGUAGAGUCUCUAGUGGAGAACAGAAUCCUGCAAACUAAUUUGUGUGAUUUAAAAUUCUUGAGAUGUUGCUUUUCCAGAUCCUUGGAGAAAUGUGAUUUAUCCUCUACAUUGCAAUCACUAUCAAUCUCGGAUUGUAACAAAGUAGAGUUUCUCCUACCUGAGCUGCUGAGAUGCCACCACCCAUUCCUUCAAAAAUUAUGGAUCUCUUAUUGUACCUGUGAGUCUCUCUCAUUAUCAUUCUCAUUAGCCGUCUUCCCGAGUUUGAUUGAUCUCCGAAUCGUAAAUCUUGAAGGGCUUGAAUUCCUCACAAUUUCGAUUUCAGAGGGGGAUCCCGCAUCUCUUAAUUAUUUGAAAAUCGAAGGGUGUCCUAAUCUUGUGUAUAUUGAAUUACCCGCUCUUGACUCAGCCUGUUAUAAGAUCAGUGAAUGCUUGAAGCUCAAGUUGCUGGCGCACACACCGUCAUCCUUGCGCAAAUUAGAGUUAGAAGAUUGCCCAGAGUUAUUGUUCCGUGGUUUGCCCUCCAACCUCUGUAAACUUAAAAUUCGGAAUUGCAAUAAACUCACACCCGAAGUGGACUGGGGUUUGCAAAGAAUGGCCUCUCUUACACAUCUCGAAAUCGUUGGUGGAUGCGAAGACGUGGAGUCAUUUCCCAAGGACUGCCUACUGCCCUCCGGUCUUACCUCUCUUCAAAUUAGAAAGUUUCCAAAACUCAAGUCUUUGGACAGCAAGGGCCUUCAACGGCUUACCUCUCUCACAACAUUAUACAUCGGCGCCUGCCCUGAGCUCCAAUUUUUUGCAGAAGAGUGGUUUCAACAUUUUCCUUCCCUUGUGGAAUUAAACAUCCGCAAGUGCCCUGAGUUCCAGUUCCUCUCUGGUCUUCAGCACCUUACCUCUCUUCAAAGAUUACACAUCCGCAUGUACCCUGGGUUCCAGUUCCUCUCUGGUCUUCAGCACCUUACCUCCCUCAUAGAACUAGAAAUCUGGGGCUGCCCAGGGCUCCAAUCCUUGACAGAAUUGGGUCUUCAAAGCCUUGCAUCUCUCAAACUUUUAGAUGUCGACGACUUCCCCCAGCUCCAAUCCUUGACACAAGCGGGUCUUCAACACCUCACCUCUCUUGAAACAUUAACUAUCUGGAACUGCCCUAAGCUCCAGUACUUGACAACAGAGAGACUGCCAGACUCCCUCUGUUGUCUUAGGGUCGACAACUGCCCAUUGCUAGAACAACGGUGCCAAUUUGAGAAAGGCCGAGAAUGGUGUUAUAUAGCUCACAUUCCACAAGUAGAGAUCAAUGGUGUACUAAUGUAACCAAGUUGGUGCUACAAUAAUGUACAGUCAGCUUCAAGCCUGAAGUAAAUAUAUGAAGAGUAGAGAGGAGGAUUGACACUUCUGAUUUGGCAGUAUUCCCAAAACCAAGUGAACCACUGCCUUGUUCAUCUGAAGAUUCUCUGAAAUUGGAGACCUGGAACAGGGGAAGAUUGAUCCCAGGCAUGGGGAAACCUGGGAGGUAUUCGAGUUAGCUGCUUAUUAAAAGAGUCUUGCUAUCAUGGUGCUGAAGCAUACCCAUUCAUCUUUGCAGAAACAGAGUUUAAAAGGUUGUCAAGAAUUGUUGUUUCAAAGAGAGGGUUUUCCCUCCAACCUAUGUCAACUUGACGGAAAUGCAAUAAACUCAUGCCCUGGGAGGACUCGCUUUUCUUGAAAAAUUUGCCUGCAGAGCGCUUGCUUUAAGCUCUCUUGAAGAAUUACGAAUCUCCAACUUCCCUAAGCUUCAACUACUUGACAGAUGUGCCCUUUUCUGGAACAUCAAUGACAAUUUACAAACGGGCAGGUCCUAUUCUAAUGAAGGUUAGAGUGGCUUCUGCUUCACUCUCAUUAUGGUACUACUUGUUGCUUCUGAUUGGGGCCACUUCUUUACAUAUAUUCUUCCAAGAUGGAUCAAAAUUACAAUGUAUAGAUGUUCAACAUCUCAAAAGGGUUCACAAGGCGCUCUGUUCGUUUGAUUAAAAAAAAAAAAAAAAAAAUCUUGAGCUAGAUGUUUGAUUAAACAAAAUCUUAACCCAAGGUGGCCAACAUUGUGCGCAAUUUGAGAAGCCAACCAAAUAAAGGUUUUCUAAGUUUUGUUUUGAUUUUACUUCCAAACUGGACUAGGUGAUUUCUGGAUUUAUCAGUCUGUUUUUCUUACAGAGACACAGAGGAAACCAAUGAGAUCUCCCACAAGUUGUAAGAGAGGCCUGGCUUUCUAAUGACAAUGAUUGCAGACCAAUUUACAAUCAGCUCUCUUUUGGGUAUGUAACUAACAACAAAGUCACGUACACUACCUUCUUCAUCAUAAGUGAGGUUUUUCUAAAACAACUUCUGAUUACUAGCUCUUAAAGAGAUGCCUCUUUCAGGCAUGGGGGAUGCUUCACAUAUAUGUUUUUUCACCUUUUUCUUAGACAGGAAGAAAUUUGAAAACUCCUUAUGAGAACAUGAUCUUGAUAUGAUGAAGAAAAUCAGAUGGAAAGUGGAGUUGAUGAAGAUUUUGUUGUUUCAGUGCUUGUGAAACACUAUGCUAUAUUACUAGUACUGAGGAUGCUCUGUUUUGAUUUGGAAGUCUGCACUUAUUAGUUCCUGUAACAAUAGGCCUUGGAGACAUUGCUUAUUCUCCGCCAAACAUGAGAACCACUAACAAAAG